CCUACGGGUGGCAGCAGUGAGGAAUAUUGGUCAAUGGGCGGGAGCCUGAACCAGCCAAGUCGCGUGAGUGAAGACGGUCCUACGGAUUGUAAACCUCUUUUGCCGGGGAGCAACGGGGUCCUUGCGAGGGCCCGAUGAGAGUACCCUGAGAAAAAGCAUCGGCUAACUCCGUGCCAGCAGCCGCGGUAAUACGGAGGAUGCGAGCGUUAUCCGGAUUUAUUGGGUUUAAAGGGUGCGUAAGCGGCCUUUUAAGUCAGCGGGGAAAGUCUAGGGCUCAACCAUAGAAGUGCCGUUGAAACUGGGGGGCUAGAGUAGGUUUGAGGGGGGCGGAAUGCGUGGUGUAGCGGUGAAAUGCUUAGAUAUCAGGCAGAACCCCGAUUGCGAAGGC
rnacentral:rRNA from 1 species